GUUACCUGGCAGUCCAUGCAGCGAGCUGGGCUAAAUGUCUGGGCUGUGGUUUGUGGAGAAGAGAUCACCACCUGUGGGGAGAUGAAGCAAACAAAACAUUUUGCUGCCUUUUGAAAUCAACAGCAGUUAGGGAACGGAGCUGCUUCCCCCCCACACACUUCCUGUCUUUGGAGACUUUAUUAUCACGAAACACAGACAGCAAUGAUCACCUACUGCCCACCUGGCUCGGUGUUUCUGGAGAAGACACUGCCCACUUCAAUCAUCUCAGGUUUCCUGCUUGGAGAGGACAUCAAGAGCUGUGGAACCUGUCCAGUUUCCAAAAGAUGAAGGGACAUAAGAUGCACGAAGAUGAAGCAGGUUUCUCCUCCUUCAAACAAUCCUGCUGGCUACCAAUGUGCCAUAAAACUAUCCAAAGAAAUUGAGAACAGAAGAAAAAAGGCUUGCAAGUCAGGCUGAGCACCCAACUUCCUAGCAUUAGCUCUCAUUUUUUUUUUAGAAUCACACAGUCAUCUUGCUGCAGAGGUCUGGUCAGUACAUAACUGCAGUCUGAAGCCCUCAGACAAGAUCUCAAGGCAGAGACAAAUACUUAGAAACCACAGAUGCCUUGAAGAUUUCUUGAGCAAGCCAAAACACAGCAUGGAAGAUAAAGCCAAUCUCAUGCAGCAGUUUACUGUCAGCCUCAGAAUCAGAGCCCAAACCUUCUGAACACCAGACUAAUUCUUAUCCAUCAAACUUACCCUCUAUAUGGACUGUGCUGUAAAAUAACACAAUAAAACUUGCCUGCUUCCUACAUCCAUUCAGCAGACAGGCCUGGAAUGCCCUGCUCUCAUGCAGUGUCUCUGCCCCAUGCCCCAGCCUGCAGAUGUCUUCUCCAGGCUUUCUGUUGUUUGGCACCACAGGAAGCCUUUGGAAAAUCUGUGCCAAAGAAGUCCUAUCACUAGGACUGCUUACAGUGUGUUUUAUUAUGUGUCCCCUCAUGAAACAGCUCUCCAUAGACAAACUGCUGAAAAGCUUUGAUGGAAACAAGACAAGUCAGUGCCCUUCUGCAGAGGAAGCAAUGACAAAAUCAAGAACUUGUGAUGCUGAGGAUAGGUGGCCAUGGUUUACACAUCUUCCCAAUAAGCCGAUGACCAGAGCUAGCCUGGGCGGUGAGAAUUACACCUUAUAUCCGUUGAUAAUGGGAUGCAGCAUGCAUUCCUGCAGUGACAUCAGACAGCUGGGAAAUCUUACCUGCAGAGUUUCUCCUGACACAUUCCUCCCUAAUAAAAGCUGCUUCAUGCCUGUAA